CCAGACUCCUACGGGAGGCAGCAGUGAGGAAUAUUGGUCAAUGGCCGGAAGGCUGAACCAGCCAAGCCGCGUGAAGGACGAAGGUGCCAAGCAUUGUAAACUUCUUUUGUCAAGGGACAAAAUCAGGCUCGAGAGCCUGACCGAGGGUACUUGAAGAAAAAGCAUCGGCUAACUCCGUGCCAGCAGCCGCGGUAAUACGGAGGAUGCGAGCGUUAUCCGGAUUUAUUGGGUUUAAAGGGUGCGCAGGCGGCCUGUUAAGUCAGCGGAAAAAGCCGGGGGCUCAACCCCGGCGAGCCGUUGAAACUGGCGGGCUGGAGUUGGAGAGAAGUACGCGGAAUGCGCGGUGUAGCGGUGAAAUGCUUAGAUAUCGCGCAGAACCCCGAUUGCGAAGGCAGCGUACCGGCUCCACACUGACGCUGAGGCACGAAAGCGUGGGUAUCGAACAGGAUUAGAUACCCGGGUA
rnacentral:rRNA from 1 species